CUAAAAUAAUAGGAAUGGGGAGAAGGCUUUAACAAAACUUGUUAUAACUAAGACCUUUACCCUGUGUUGAUCAGGAGGAAGCGCCCAUAUGGGUCUACGGUUCUGCUAUGUUUUUGGUCCUGUCUUGCCUGAACAGCAGGGGGUAUACAAAAGGACAGUACUCUAAAUACCAAAAGACUCUGAAGAGAAAGCACAUCUUAGCCUCCUUACCUCCCUGGAAAAUCCUAUCCAGCAUGAGUUCAGAUCAGGUGAUAUUCUGGAAAGCUUGGAAAGCCUCAGAUUCGUGCAUUACUUGCAAGCAAGUAAGCAAGAUCCACAAAUGAUGCAUUUAAGUUGCCCUUCAUCACUCAGCAGUGAAGAAUGAAAAUCAACAGAGCUUUCCCCAGCCUGCUGCUUAAGCAGCUGCUAACAGGCUGAGGCUGCCCAGCCUCAUUAACCCAUUAGAUGCUGCGUUCGCCCAGGAGUCAUUCUUAAUGAGGCUGCUGCAGGUAAGCCAGACAUGCACCAAAAUGUUGGGGCAUUAAAUUAAGACUCUUAAAUGUGGGACCUAUAAUAGAGUUAUUUUUAUGUCAGAAACAGAUACAUCAGAGAGCACUCUUAAGGCGAGUAAAGCAAAUGAUACUAUUACCAUCUGUGAAUCUAUAGUGCUUUAAAGAUGUUGGAAAUUUUGAAUUCAGGAGGCACUUGGAAGCUUGUCAUUUUCCCGAACAUUGUGUCCCCCUAAUUAGCAACUCUGUUCUCUAGAAUAGGCACCAGUGUACAGAAUCAAGUCAGAUUUCAU
rnacentral:lncRNA from 1 species